rnacentral:rRNA from 1 species
UGGGGAAUUUUGGACAAUGGGCGAAAGCCUGAUCCAGCCAUGCCGCGUGAGUGAAGAAGGCCUUCGGGUUGUAAAGCUCUUUUAGUCGGGAAGAAAGAGUUGCAAUGAAUAAUUGUGAUUUAUGACGGUACCGACAGAAAAAGCACCGGCUAACUACGUGCCAGCAGCCGCGGUAAUACGUAGGGUGCGAGCGUUAAUCGGAAUUACUGGGCGUAAAGGGUGCGCAGGCGGUCUUGCAAGUCAGAUGUGAAAGCCCCGGGCUUAACCUGGGAAUUGCGUUUGAAACUACAAGGCUAGAGUGCAGGAGAGGGGAGUGGAAUUCCAUGUGUAGCAGUGAAAUGCGUAGAGAUGUGGAAGAACACCGAUGGCGAAGGCAGCUCCCUGGGUUGACACUGACGCUCAUGCACGAAAGCGUGGGGAGCAAACA